rnacentral:ncRNA from 1 species
GAAAUAAAAUAAAUGUAUGAAAUGAAUUCACUGGCUUGUGGCGGCCAAGCGUUCAUAGCGAUGUCGCUUAUUGAUCCUUCGAUGUCGGCUCUUCCUAUCAUUGUGAAGCAGAAUUCACCAAGCGUUGGAUGGUUCACCCACUAAUAGGGAACGUGAGCUGGGUUUAGACCGUCGUGAGACAGGUUAGUUUUACC